rnacentral:lncRNA from 1 species
CAAGUCCACUGACACCAUCAAGUUUUAGGAGGUUUAUUCUGUGCUCCCUGAGGCCGCCCCUUUGUAUAAGAAGAUGCUAAUUUUAACAGGAGAUCUUGCAUCCCAAGAGCAGGAGUGAACAUGCAGCUAUUUCUUGGCAACCCUAACUGCCACCAGAGUUGCCAGGCUGCUAAAGGCAUUCGCCUGUGCUGUACACACAGCUGGGAAAUCAGAAGCAAGGAGCUGGGUUUGUUACCAGCCAAAGCCCUGGAACUCACAAGGCAAUCUGCUCUCCUUGGGAAGUUUUUGUCUGAGCAUCUGAGAUAUUUUCAAGUAAGAAGCCAUGGAGAUUGGAAGAGCUACCCCUGCAGCAAAAUCAGCCUUGUGUUAUGUACAGGCUGGCCUGUGACAACAAGCCCUGGGGACACUGGGGUUCCAGCCCUGCUCAGCCGAGCUUCAUGCAUUAUGGAUGAAGAUUGUCGAUGCGCAGACUUCAGGGACAUGGCUCCUCCAAAGCAAAAUCAACACUCCAUGCAACCACUACCUACCAACAGCUGUUGUCCAGGGCUUGAAAGAUGUUUUCAUAUUUUGUCUUGAAAUAGGAAGUUGCAGAUCCUUGGGUUCGUAUCUGCUUUGGCUGCCUCCAGAACCAGGAGUGAGGCUGUCACCUAGCAACGAGCUCUCUGCUUAUAGAAACCUAAGCUGUGGCCAGCCAAGAGAGGAAAAUCACCCACUGGAAUGAAAAGUUUUAGCUUUCAACUCGAGAGCAGCCAGAAGCCCAGCACCAAGUGGGAUGCAAGAGCCAAGGCGUCGUCCCAGGGGAACCCCAGGCUCAUGGAGCCCUGAUGCAGAGUUGGAGUUGGGGGGUAGCUUUAAGUACGACGACCUCUGGGAGUUUUGUUCUCCACCCUGAGGGGUGACCAGAAGCUCGGUGCUUUCAACUUGGGUGCCACAACUCCUGAGUGAUCUGAUGCAGGUAGCUUAGGUUCUUGGAACCCCUGCUGCUCCUCAGUGGUCAGUACUGGGGGGCCACUAGGCUCAAGGCUUCCAUCAAAACUUUGGGCAUGAAGGAUGCUCCCUGGGGGUUCAGGCUUCAGGCCUACUGUCUGAAUUUGAGCAGGAAUGUGUAAAACCACCCAAGGGUUUCCCACACCAUGAGGCUAGGAGAUGAUAUUAACACUCCAGGGUGUUCUACAUCUCCGCAUCAGAAAUAGGGAAAAGCUGGAGCUGCUGAGGUUCUGAGGCAAGUAGGGGGCUCUGGCUGCUCGUCCCCAGUGUUGUAUUCCUACUGGCAAAUUGCCUAUUUAGUAGUCAUAGCAUCUUUCCUUGAAACAACAGCCCUCCUCUCCUAGACACUUACCUACAUUUCUCGUGGAUCCCCACUUUCUUAUUUUUCCUUCUCUUUCUCCAUGGGACUUGCUCUGGCCAUUGGAAUAUUUCUGAGCAUGUCAGGAGCAGAGGUCUUAAAUGUCCUGCAUGUGGUUUGGUUUGCUCUUCUGCCCUGUGCUACAAGAAGAUAAGCCCCAGGUAGCCUCAGGUCCAAGGAGAAUGAGGAGAUAGGUAUUACAUACUUGAACUUAGCUAUAGCCUGAAACAGAGGCAUCCUAGCCAGCUGCCAGGUCCAGAACAAGAGAAAUGAAAGGUUGUGAGUCACUGAUAUUCAAGGACUGUUUGUUGAGCAACUUUAUUGUAGCAAGACCUGACUAAUACACUGUCCAUUACUCUUACCAUUGUUUACUUCUAAGUGUCGUGGUUCCUGUAUUUUCUGAGACCUGGUUGGUCAGCUUUUCCUUCAUUUUUGCAGGCUUUAUCAUAUCCUCCUAAUAAAUUCUUCUCUCUGCUAAAGUUAGUUGGAAUU